rnacentral:rRNA from 1 species
AUUGAACGCUGGCGGCAUGCUUUACACAUGCAAGUCGAACGGCAGCGCGGGCUUCGGCCUGGCGGCGAGUGGCGAGCGGGUGAGUAAUACAUCGGAACGUGCCCAGUGGUGGGGGAUAGCUCGGCGAAAGCCGGAUUAAUACCGCAUACGACCUGAGGGUGAAAGCGGGGGAUCUUCGGACCUCGCGCUAUUGGAGCGGCCGAUGGCAGAUUAGCUAGUUGGUGGGGUAAAGGCCUACCAAGGCGACGAUCUGUAGCUGGUCUGAGAGGACGACCAGCCACACUGGGACUGAGACACGGCCCAGACUCCUACGGGAGGCAGCAGUGGGGAAUUUUGGACAAUGGGCGAAAGCCUGAUCCAGCAAUGCCGCGUGUGUGAUGAAGGCCUUCGGGUUGUAAAGCACUUUUGGCGGGAACGAAAAGGACUGUGCCAAUACCACGGUUCGAUGACGGUACCCGCAGAAUAAGCACCGGCUAACUACGUG